rnacentral:rRNA from 1 species
AUGUGUGGACAUGAUAAUGAAACGUUGUUUCACUCGUUAAUGGAAUGUGAACAUGCAAGACGUUUUUGGGAGUCAGCAGAACAAUUUUUUGGUAUAGAUAUACCAAGACUACACCCUGAGACUUGGGCUCGAGAUCUUUUAGAUCAUCGGUUUUACAAAAAGGAAGUGGCAGCUAUUAUGAUCACCGUGAUGUGGGCUGUGUGGCAUUCCAGGAACAACUAUACUCAUGGGGAGUUGGUGUACCAGCCGAUCAAAUCAAUGAUGAUCAUUGAAGAGAUUAUCAGGACGCUUGAGAUACCUGAGAGGCAGAAGUCCAAAAUUACUGCCCGUCCGAGGUGGCUACCACCGGAUGAGUGA